rnacentral:rRNA from 1 species
GACGAACGCUGGCGGCGUGCUUAACACAUGCAAGUCGAACGAAGAGCGACGGAAGCUUGCUUCUAUCAAUCUUAGUGGCGAACGGGUGAGUAACGCGUAAUCAACCUGCCCUUCAGAGGGGGACAACAGUUGGAAACGACUGCUAAUACCCCAUACGAUCUAACCUCGGCAUCGAGGAUAGAUGAAAGGUGGCCUCUACAUGUAAGCUAUCACUGAAGGAGGGGAUUGCGUCUGAUUAGCUAGUUGGAGGGGUAACGGCCCACCAAGGCGAUGAUCAGUAGCCGGUCUGAGAGGAUGGACGGCCACAAUGGGAAUAAGACACGGCCCAGACUCCUACGGGAGGCAGCAGUGGGGAAUCUUCCGCAAUGGACGAAAGUCUGACGGAGCAACGCCGCGUGAGUGAUGACGGCCUUCGGGUUGUAAAGCUCGGUUAAUCGGGACGAAAGGCCUUCUUGCGAAUAGUGAGAAGGAUUGACGGUACCGGAAUAGAAAGCCACGGCUAACUACGUG